UGGGGAAUAUUGCACAAUGGGCGCAAGCCAGAUGCAGCCAUGCCGCGUGUAUGAAGAAGGCCUUCGGGUUGUAAAGUACUUUCAGCGGGGAGGAAGGGAGUAAAGUUAAUACCUUUGCUCAUUGACGUUACCCGCAGAAGAAGCACCGGCUAACUCCGUGCCAGCAGCCGCGGUAAUACGGAGGGUGCAAGCGUUAAUCGGAAUUACUGGGCGUAAAGCGCACGCAGGCGGUUUGUUAAGUCAGAUGUGAAAUCCCCGGGCUCAACCUGGGAACUGCAUCUGAUACUGGCAAGCUUGAGUCUCGUAGAGGGGGGUAGAAUUCCAGGUGUAGCGGUGAAAUGCGUAGAGAUCUGGAGGAAUACCGGUGGCGAAGGCGGCCCCCUGGACGAAGACUGACGCUCAGGUGCGAAAGCGUGGGGAGCAAACA
rnacentral:rRNA from 1 species